AGGUUAAGCUAGAAAGGGCGCACGGUGGAUGCCUUGGCACUAGGAGCCGAUGAAGGACGGGGCAAACGCCGAAACGCUUCGGGGAGCUGUAAGCAAGCGUGGAUCCGGAGAUGUCCGAAUGGGGGAACCCACUGCUCGUAAUGGGGCAGUAUCCAUGCCUGAAUCCAUAGGGCAUGGAGGGCACACCCGGGGAACUGAAACAUCUUAGUACCCGGAGGAGAAGAAAGCAAACGCGAUUCCCCGAGUAGCGGCGAGCGAAACGGGAACAGCCCAAACCAAGAGGCGUGUCCUCUUGGGGUUGUAGGACCGCUCAUGGUGGGAGUGAGAAAGGGACGGGGUAGACGAACCGGUCUGGAACGGCCGGCCAGAGAAGGUGAGAGCCCUGUAGUCGAAACUUCGUUCCCUCCCGAGCGGAUCCUGAGUACGGCGGGACACGAGGAAUCCCGUCGGAAGCAGGGAGGACCAUCUCCCAAGGCUAAAUACUCCCUAGUGACCGAUAGUGAACCAGUACCGUGAGGGAAAGGUGAAAAGCACCCCGGGAGGGGAGUGAAAGAGAACCUGAAACCGUGUGCCUACAAGUAGUCAGAGCCCGUUGAUGGGUGAUGGCGUGCCUUUUGUAGAAUGAACCGGCGAGUGACGAUGGCGUGCGAGGUUAAGCCGAAGAGGCGGAGCCGCAGCGAAAGCGAGUCUGAACAGGGCAAAAAGUACGUCGUCGUCGACCCGAAACCAGGUGAUCUACCCAUGUCCAGGGUGAAGGCCGGGUAACACCGGCUGGAGGCCCGAACCCACGCACGUUGAAAAGUGCGGGGAUGAGGUGUGGGUAGGGGUGAAAUGCCAAUCGAACUUGGAGAUAGCUGGUUCUCCCCGAAAUAGCUUUAGGGCUAGCCUCGGGCUUGAGAGUGUUGGAGGUAGAGCACUGAUUGGGCUAGGGGCCCAAACCGGGUUACCGAACCCAGUCAAACUCCGAAUGCCAACGACUUAUGCCCGGGAGUCAGACUACGAGUGAUAAGAUCCGUGGUCGAGAGGGGAACAGCCCAGACCGCCAGCUAAGGCCCCCAAGUGCACGUUCAGUGGAAAAGGAUGUGGAGUUGCCAAGACAACCAGGAUGUUGGCUUAGAAGCAGCCACCAUUUAAAGAGUGCGUAAUAGCUCACUGGUCGAGUGACUCUGCGCCGAAAAUGUACCGGGGCUAAACGUGCCGCCGAAGCUGCGGGAUGACCGUUGGUCAUCGGUAGGGGAGCGUUCUAAGGGCAGAGAAGCCAGACCGGAAGGACUGGUGGAGCGCUUAGAAGUGAGAAUGCCGGUAUGAGUAGCGAAAACAGAGGUGAGAAUCCUCUGCGCCGAAAGCCUAAGGGUUCCUGAGGAAGGUUCGUCCGCUCAGGGUUAGUCGGGACCUAAGCCGAGGCCGAAAGGCGUAGGUGAUGGACAACAGGUUGAGAUUCCUGUACCACCUUCUUCCCGUUUGAGCGAUGGGGGGACGCAGGAGGAUAGGGCGAGCAGGCGGCUGGAAGAGCCUGUCCAAGCCGUGAGGCUGAUCCGCAGGCAAAUCCGCGGAUUGGAAGGCCGAGCGGUGACGGCGACGGAGUCAUCCGGAAGUCCCCGAUUUCACACUGCCAAGAAAAGCCUCUAGCGAGGGAAGAGGUGCCCGUACCGCAAACCGACACAGGUAGGCGAGGAGAGAAUCCUAAGGCGCGCGGGAGAACUCUCGUUAAGGAACUCGGCAAAAUGACCCCGUAACUUCGGGAGAAGGGGUGCUCUUUGGGGUGAAGAGCCCUGAAGAGCCGCAGUGAAAAGGCCCAAGCGACUGUUUAUCAAAAACACAGGUCUCUGCGAAGCCGAAAGGCGACGUAUAGGGGCUGACACCUGCCCGGUGCUGGAAGGUUAAGGGGAGCGCUUAGCGGAAGCGAAGGUGCGAACCGAAGCCCCAGUAAACGGCGGCCGUAACUAUAACGGUCCUAAGGUAGCGAAAUUCCUUGUCGGGUAAGUUCCGACCCGCACGAAAGGUGUAACGACUUGGGCGCUGUCUCAACGAGAGACCCGGUGAAAUUAUACUACCUGUGAAGAUGCAGGUUACCCGCGACAGGACGGAAAGACCCCGUGGAGCUUUACUGCAGCCUGAUAUGGAAUUUUGGUAUCGCUUGUACAGGAUAGGUGGGAGCCUGGGAAGCCGGAGCGCCAGCUUCGGUGGAGGCGGCGGUGGGAUACCACCCUGGCGGUAUUGAAAUUCUAACCCGCACCCCUUAGCGGGGUGGGAGACAGUGUCAGGCGGGCAGUUUGACUGGGGCGGUCGCCUCCCAAAAGGUAACGGAGGCGCCCAAAGGUUCCCUCAGAAUGGUUGGAAAUCAUUCGGAGAGUGCAAAGGCACAAGGGAGCUUGACUGCGAGACGGACAGGUCGAGCAGGGACGAAAGUCGGGCUUAGUGAUCCGGUGGUUCCGCAUGGAAGGGCCAUCGCUCAACGGAUAAAAGCUACCCCGGGGAUAACAGGCUGAUCUCCCCCAAGAGUCCACAUCGACGGGGAGGUUUGGCACCUCGAUGUCGGCUCAUCGCAUCCUGGGGCUGUAGUCGGUCCCAAGGGUUGGGCUGUUCGCCCAUUAAAGCGGUACGCGAGCUGGGUUCAGAACGUCGUGAGACAGUUCGGUCCCUAUCCGUCGCGGGCGGAGGAAAUUUGAGAGGAGCUGUCCUUAGUACGAGAGGACCGGGAUGGACGCACCGCUGGUGUACCAGUUGUCCCGCCAGGGGCACCGCUGGGUAGCUAUGUGCGGACGGGAUAAGCGCUGAAAGCAUCUAAGCGUGAAGCCCCCCUCAAGAUGAGAUUUCCCACCGCGUUAGGCGGGUAAGAUCCCUCGAAGAUGACGAGGUCGAUAGGUCCGAGGUGGAAGCGUGGCGACACGUGGAGCUGACGGAUACUAAUCGAUCGAGGGCUUAACCUAG
rnacentral:rRNA from 1 species